AGUGAACGCUGGCGGUAGGCCUAACACAUGCAAGUCGAACGGCAGCACAGUAAGAGCUUGCUCUUACGGGUGGCGAGUGGCGGACGGGUGAGGAAUACAUCGGAAUCUACUUUUUCGUGGGGGAUAACGUAGGGAAACUUACGCUAAUACCGCAUACGACCUACGGGUGAAAGCAGGGGGGUCUUCGGACCUUGCGCGAUUGAAUGAGCCGAUGUCGGAUUAGCUAGUUGGCGGGGUAAAGGCCCACCAAGGCGACGAUCCGUAGCUGGUCUGAGAGGAUGAUCAGCCACACUGGAACUGAGACACGGUCCAGACUCCUACGGGAGGCAGCAGUGGGGAAUAUUGGACAAUGGGCGCAAGCCUGAUCCAGCCAUACCGCGUGGGUGAAGAAGGCCUUCGGGUUGUAAAGCCCUUUUGUUGGGAAAGAAAAGCAGCAGGUUAAUACCCCGCUGUUCUGACGGUACCCAAAGAAUAAGCACCGGCUAACUUCGUG
rnacentral:rRNA from 1 species